rnacentral:lncRNA from 12 species
UCAUGGUGCUCAGCACACUCAGAGGAAGGCUGAGAGGAGGCUGUGUGGGAGCCAGAGCAGAGGGGUUUUUUGUAACUUGCUUUGCAGACCAGCACAAUUUUCCAGGGGAGAUGCAAGCCUGGGAUAGUGGCUGUUGAGCUCACAGACUUGCUUUGUUUAAUUAUCAUUUGCAGACUGUUUAAUAGGGGCCUGAAGGCCCCAAAACCCACCAAGAGCGAGAGGAUGACAACCACCAAAUACCUCUGUAGGAAGAAGACAGGCAGAGAGUUUAUUCAGCUUGCCCAGCACUUCAGCCACAGGAGCCAACUCCAAGGCCAUGGAGACCAGAACCAGCUCCUGUGACUAUAAUACCUCCAAAGCACUGCAGCCCAAGGGCUGAUGUCUAUUUUCUUUUGGCACUGGAUCAUCUCUCCCACAAGGAUCUGCACCAGGAGCUCCUAGGAAGCUGCUGCCCCUGCUUCACACAGUGGGCAGCUGAGAUGCCCAAUGGAUGGACAACCUUCUCUCAGCCUGGAGUGCUUCCCCAC